AUGUGUAUGCAUGUAUCUUUCUGAGUAUGUUGAUGAGUGUGUGCAUGUGUGUGGGGGUGGGACAUGCUGACACGAGUGUGGCCAGUGUACUCCAGUGCGGUUUCUCUGUAGUCCGCCUACCUUCUGCUGCCGCUCUACGUUUGGCUCAGUAUGGGAGCUGCGGUGCCGUGCAUUGUUUUCCUGCUGCUUUCCAAAGCCUCAGUGUAGUGGGGUCUGGCUCCCACCUGCAGGUGUCAUAAUCGCCUGCUCAUCCCGAGGUGGGUCACUCCUCAAGAAACAAGACGAGUGCAACACACCUACAAUCACUUUCCUCCAAGAGCCCUUGGUCCUGUGGCACAUCUAGGGCUGGAGGGACCCUAGCCGUCCCAUCCUCAGGACCCUGUGAGGGGCUCCAGUGGUGCCCCUAAACUUAUGUGUAUUUCCUCUACUUAGGAUUCUUGUCAAAAAACAGAUUGUAAUUCAUGUGUUGGAGUGAGCCUGACAUUCUGUAUUUCUUGUAGGCACUCAGUGGAUGCAUGCCACUGAUUAGGGGUCCUCAUUGACAUGUGGAGGAGCAAGUCUCAGUAUUGUUCUUUUGAAAAAGAGUUCCUAGAGAGAGAAGACAAAGGCAGUCUGUGUUGCAAAAGAAGCCCAAGGCUGAAGUUUGAAGAACUGAAUAUGCAACUUUGCAAGGGACUCAGAGACAAGGAAAACCUUGUCAGGAAAGAGUUCCUAGAGAGAGGAGGCAAAGGCAGUCUGUGUUGGAAAAAAAACCCAAGGCUGAUAAUGGAAGAACUGAAUAUGCAACUUUGCAAGGGACCUGGAGACCAGAAAAAGCUUGUCAGAGUGAAUGAGGAUGAGGAUGACCUGAAGGAAGAACAUGUAAUUAAGGUAACAUGCAUGUCCUGGGCUGGUUCUGUGCUGGGGCCUGUAGGCCUGGACUCUCUACCCCUGGGGAGGAGGCUGGAGUCACUCCGGCCUCUUCAUUCCUAUGGAUGAAGGAGGAGCUCCCAGCUCAUGGUCUCGAGUUGCUCCCUUGGCUGGCUAGGGAGCGGGGCCUGGGCUUGUCACCCCAGGGCAUGGAGGAGCAGCUGUUCUGUGCUGGCCUCUGAGUGGUUUCUGUUCCCACUGGAGGGUGGUGGUGGAAGGUGCGGGUAGGAGAGGCAUGAGUGCCCUGCCCUUUUGGGUCUCUCAUGGUUGACUUCCACCUUGUCUGCAUUUUCAUUUGCAUGGAAUGCUAUGGGAUGUAUAUGGUCUGACAUUUCUCAAAUUUAAAUAUAUUUGGUUUCAUUGAUUUAUGACUUUUGCUUUCUGUUAGAUGUAGGUAUUUUCUCUGUAUUUUUCUCUUUUCCUCUCCUCAUUCUUGUCUUAGAGGAGUAGAGGGAGAGUAUUCUGCUCAGCCUCCCUCUUUCUCUUUGGGAGAUGUGUGAGAAACACCCCAACCCUGACAGAAUGGGGACUGUUUUCCAUGGUAAAAGUCACCAUUCGGGAGCUAAUACUGUCCUGAGAUUGACAAACUCUCUCAGGCGGUUGAUUGGAGGCUAGGUAUGAUUUGUGGAAGGAGCUGCCUCUAAGACAUUCCCUUGAACCUCUAGAGCUGAGGGUGGCUCGGGAACCCUUGGGCCCCUUGGUAGAUGAAACCUGAUGUGGGACAUCACUUUGUGCAUCUGCCACCGCGCUCCCUUUCCCUCAGCCUCUCAGGCCUGGCUUGCCUUGAUGUUAGAGAAUAUGUUGGGCGUUUUGGUCCCCUCUUUGAAGCCCUUCUCUUUUUCUCUGCCAGGUUUAUUACUCCUGUUGGACACACUUCCAGCUGGCCCAGUUUGUGCCAGAUUGGAGAUGGUUAUUCUAAGUGAAGUAACUCAGGAAUGGAAAAACAAAUGUCAUAUGUUCUCACUGAUAUGUGGGAGCUAAGCUAUGAGGAUGCAAAGGCAUAAGAACAAUACAAUGGACCUUGGAGACUUGCGGGGAGAGUGGGAGGGGGAUGAGGGAUAAAAAACAACAAAUAUGGUGCAGUGUAUACUGCUCGGGGGAUGGUGCACCAGGUUCUCACAAAUCUCUACUAAAGAACUCAUUCAUGUAACCAAGUAGCACCUGUACCCCAAUAACUUAUGGAGAAAUAAAAUUUUGUCAAAAAGAGUGAGUGAUGAAGCCAUUCAGUUUUCCAGUUUUUCAUUUUCAUUUUUUUAUAUGAGUAUUCUUUUAGCUGGAAACUUUCCUAGCAAUAAAAUUGCUUUUAUUUUUGUUACUCUGCCUCCACUCCCUAACCCUCACUUUAGAUAGGAUGGACCAAGCCCAUUUUGCAGAUGAGGAAACUAAGGGUCAGAGAGGUUACACAACUCUUCCAGAGUCACACAGCGGGGAAGUAGCAGCUGCAUGAGCAGAAGCCAGGCUGCUUCCUAGUGCACCAGUGGUUUUCACAGUGUUUUGUGGAAACUUGGGGCCCUCCAGGGCCACCUUGGGGGCAUGGACAAGGCUAAGCAGGGGAUGGGGCUCCCCUCUCACGCAGCCCUGUCCUUGGUUCACUCAGGAGUCAGGCCAGCCCCAGUUUCCUGUGUUUCAUGUAUUUGACUUUCCAUGUAAACUCUCGAGGAAAGCAUCCGUUGCUACAAGCCAUCUCUGGAAUGUCCCUACACACAGUCCAGGUAGGAAAUAGAGGCACUGGUGUCAGAAGCUUAGUAUUGGGCAGGUGAGGCUGCUGCAGGGGAGCCCAGUCCUGCUCAGAUCCCCACAUCUCCCAUCACAGCUGGCAGGGCUGCCCUAUCAGAUGCUGCUGCAAGCGGCCACCAGUAGGCUGUGGGCAUGCAGCUGCAGGCCAGGUGAUGAUCACUGAUAAGGUGCACACCCUGAUCAACUCCAUCACGGGCAUGCACAGUGUGGAGGUCAGUGGCUCCCAGGUACAUGGGCCUCCCUUCCCCAGGCCAGGGUCUGCCAUGGGGCAAAGGGAUAUGGAUGGCUCCUCUAGACACCUGAAACAGGAAUUCCUCUGGAGGUGGAGCUUGCUAGAGGGUACACUGAGUCAAGGCAGUGACCUCAUUGGAGGCUGACCAUGGCUUUCCUGCACAACCCAGAACUCUGGGAACCCUGCUCCAGCAGAGUGGCUCAUUUCCCUACACCUCACCAGCCCCCACGCUCCUGAGUCCCUCCAGCCCUGGAUGCCCGCAACCAGUUCUGUAAGCCAGGGAGAUGGCACGAGCAAGGCAGGAGUCCCUCAGGGUCAAAUCUUGUCAUUACUGAUGCUGUGUAAAGGGGAUUGAACUGAGGAAUGCUCAAGAUCAGCGCAGGCUCCUCCUGCUGACCUAUCAUGUGCCAUGCGUGGCAUCGUGUCUCUGGUCUUCACACUGACUGCCAUGGGGGUGGUACUCCUGGUUUACAUUGAGAACUUGCAGAUUUGGAGAUGGUUAAGCCAUGUCUUAAGGUCAUGCCACUCAUGAGUGUGGAGUUGGGGUGUACCGACUGGUUUCUAACCAUGAGACCCCCACGGCAUCUCACCAGCUCUACUGACAUGUGCCCAGGUUGAAUUGAGGCCAGGAUGUGGUGGUGAACCUGAACCAUCCCUCUAUUGACUCCAAGUCUUUUCUCAACCCAGCGGAAAGUGGCAGGGAGAGUCAGGACUUGAGGGAUUCAGCCUCUUGCUUUCCUCUAACCCCCAGUGGACACUGGAGCAGAACUUCCCUUCCUUCCCCUCUCUCUCAGCUCCCACCAGCCUACAAGCCAUGGAAACCCAUACCUUUUGUCUCCAACCAGCCCCCACUUUUCCCCUUGCUGGCUUCCUGUGUGUCUGGGGUCAGCAUCUUCUAGGCAUAUCUAAGAAGUCAGCAGCACAGCCCUCAGCUGCUCGCCCAAAGCCUGGUUUAUGUUCUCUCCCCAGCUCUGUCAGACCCACUCCCAGCUGCUGCAGUACAUGGAGUGAAACAGGUGAGAUGCAACCCUCUGAGGUAGAGGGACAGUCCCUCAGCCUCGGUGGCCCCUGUGUCAGCCUCUGAGAGGCAGCACUUUGGUUCCCCUCUGGCCCAGGCUGCAGUGGGGUGGAGCCCUGUGCCGUUCGUGUCCUGGGCACAUCAUGGUGUGUGCUAUGCACAGACCUGGGAGGCUUCGGACUGACCACUGGCUCUGAGGCCUGGGGCCGUGGCCAGCCUGCUUUCUGGGAAAAGAUUUGUAGUUUGUAACCCAGUUUCAGAGGCACUGGGCAGCAAAAGGCCUCUGCUGGGGCAGAUGGGGUGAGUUGCCAUCAGGGCAUCAACACUUAAUGUCCACUGGCGUCUCCUCAGGAAGCAUUUAAAGGCCAAGAACCUGAUGCACCUGAAGCAGAUCCUGUAUUUGCUGGAGAAGUUCAUGGUCAUGUUUGCGGGGAGAAUCCUGUCCCCUCCCCCUGCUGACCUGCAGGGCUGCUUUUUCCCUGGAUGCCCAUCAGGACACCUCAGUUCUCUGUGGUUUUCUUUGUUUGUUUGUUUGUUUUUGAGGAUCUUGCACUCUUGCCCAGGCUGGAGUGCAGUGGUGCAAUCUCAGCUCACUGCAACCUCCAUGAUUCUCCUGCCUCAGCCUCCCAAGUAGCUGAGACUAUAGGCACAAGCCACCAUGCCCAGCUAAUUAUUUGUAUUUUUAGUAGAAACUGUGCUUCACCAUGUUCGCCAGGCUGGUCUCCAACUCCUGACCUCAAGUGAUCUGCCCUCCUCGGCCUCCCAAAGUGCUGAGAUUACAGAUAUGAGCCACCAUGUUCGGCCAAUUCUCUGUGUUUUUAAGAAGGGUCUUGGUCAUUGAUUUAACAAAUUCUUACACUUUAUAGCUUAGCUGAGUUGUCUGACUUGAGCUUCUUUAGACUCAUGGGUUCCUUGCCUGUAUUCUUUCUAUUUUGCCAGGCCCUACUCUGUGGGGAUAGUAAGGAUAUAGCACCACAAGAAUGCACAGCAUUUCCCUGAUAGGCAUAGUGCUGUGGGGUGUGCAGAGCACUUGCAUAU
ensembl:lincRNA